AAAGUACUCCCUCCGUCCCAAAAUUCAUGUCUUAGAUUUGUCUAGAUACGGAUGUAUCAAGUCACAUUUUAGUAUUAGAUACAUCCGUAUCUAGACAAAUCUAAGACAAGAAAUUUGGGACAGAGGGAGUAGUUG
rfam:Triticum aestivum genome assembly, contig: Triticum_aestivum_CS42_TGACv1_scaffold_321336_4BL